rnacentral:rRNA from 1 species
AGUGAACGCUGGCGGUAGGCCUAACACAUGCAAGUCGAACGGCAGCACAGAGGAGCUUGCUCCUUGGGUGGCGAGUGGCGGACGGGUGAGGAAUACAUCGGAAUCUACUCUGUCGUGGGGGAUAACGUAGGGAAACUUACGCUAAUACCGCAUACGACCUACGGGUGAAAGCAGGGGAUCUUCGGACCUUGCGCGAUUGAAUGAGCCGAUGUCGGAUUAGCUAGUUGGCGGGGUAAAGGCACACCAAGGCGACGAUCCGUAGCUGGUCUGAGGGGAUGAUCAGCCACACUGGAACUGAGACACGGUCCAGACUCCUACGGGAGGCAGCAGUGGGGAAUAUUGGACAAUGGGCGCAAGCCUGAUCCAGCCAUACCGCGUGGGUGAAGAAGGCCUUCGGGUUGUAAAGCCCUUUUGUUGGGAAAGAAAUCCAUCUGGUUAAUACCCGGGUGGGAUGACGGUACCCAAAGGAUAAGCACCGGCUAACUUCGUGCCAGCCGCCGCCGUAA